rnacentral:ncRNA from 21 species
GCCACCCCUAUCCAGGCCAGGAGAAAAACGGAAACCUUCACCGCCUGGGGUGGCAACCAAUUUGAAGG